UACGAAGGGGGCUAGCGUUGUUCGGAUUUACUGGGCGUAAAGCGCACGUAGGCGGAUCGUUAAGUCGGGGGUGAAAUCCUGGAGCUCAACUCCAGAACUGCCUUCGAUACUGGCGAUCUUGAGUCCGGAAGAGGUGAGUGGAAUUCCUAGUGUAGAGGUGGAAUUCGUAGAUAUUAGGAAGAACACCAGUGGCGAAGGCAGCUCUCUGGGUCCCUACCGACGCUGGGGUGCGAAAGCAUGGGGAGCGAACAGG
rnacentral:rRNA from 1 species